AUUGAACGCUGGCGGCAGGCCUAACACAUGCAAGUCGAACGAGUGGCGGACGGGUGAGUAAUGUCUUGGAAACUGCCUGAUGGAGGGGGAUAACUACUCGAAACGGUAGCUAAUACCGCAUACCAUUAGAUCUGCCCAUAUGGGAUUAGCUUGUUGGUGGGGUAACGGCUCACCAUGGCGACGAUCCCUAGCUGGUCUGAGAGGAUGACCAGCCACACUGGAACUGAGACACGGUCCAGACUCCUACGGGAGGCAGCAGGGGGGAAUAUUGCACAAUGGGCGAAAGCCGGAUGCAGCCAUGCCGCGUGUAUGAAGAAGGCCUUCGGGUUGUAAAGUACUUUCAGCGGAGAGGCGUUACCCGCAGAAGAAGCACCGGCUAACUCCGUGCCAGCCGCCGCGGUAAUAC
rnacentral:rRNA from 1 species